UUCCGGUUGAUCCUGCCGGCGGCCACCGCUAUUGGAAUCCGAUUAAGACGUGCGAGUCGAGAGUCUUCGGGACUCGGCGGACUGCUCAGUAACACGUGGAUAACAUGCCCUUGGGUGGGGGAUAACCUCGGGAAACUGAGAAUAAUACCCCAUAGGUCUAGGAUGCUGGAAUGCUUCUAGGCCGAAAGCUCCGGCGCCCAAGGAUUGGUCUGCGGCCUAUCAGGUAGUAGUGGGUGUAACGGACCCACUAGCCUGCGACGGGUACGGGCCUUGGGAGAGGGAGCCCGGAGAUGGACUCUGAGACACGAGUCCAGGCCCUACGGGGCGCAGCAGUCGCGAAAACUUCGCAAUGGGGGAAACCCCGACGAGGAGAUUCCAAGUGCCAGCACACUGUGUUGGCUGUUCUCCUGUCCAAAAAGCAGGAGGAGUAAGGGCCGGGUAAGACGGGUGCCAGCCGCCGCGGUAAUACCCGCGGCCCGAGUGGUGGUCGAUUUUAUUGAGCCUAAAACGUCCGUAGCCGGCCUGGUAAAUCCUUGGGUAAAUCGGGCAGCUUAACUGUCCGAAGUCCGGGGAGACUGCCAGGCUUGGGACCGGGAGAGGUCAGAGGUACUUCCGGGGUAGGGGUAAAAUCCUGUAAUCCUGGAAGGACCACCGGUGGCGAAGGCGUCUGACUAAAACGGAUCCGACGGUGAGGGACGAAGCCCUGGGGCGCAAACGGGAUUAGAUACCCCGGUAGUCCAGGGUGUAAACGCUGCGGGCUUGGUGUUGGGAGUCCUCUGAGGGCGCCCAGUGCCGGAGAGAAGUUGUUAAGCCCGCUGCUUGGGGAGUACGUCCGCAAGGAUGAAACUUAAAGGAAUUGGCGGGGGAGCACAAU
rnacentral:rRNA from 1 species